GCAAGUCGAACGGUGAACCUUGGAGCUUGCUUCGAGGGGAUCAGUGGCGAACGGGUGAGUAACACGUGAGUAACCUGCCCCGGACUCUGGAAUAAGCGCUGGAAACGGCGUCUAAUACCGGAUACGAGACGCAACCGCAUGGUUAGCGUCUGGAAAGUUUUUCGGUCUGGGAUGGACUCGCGGCCUAUCAGCUUGUUGGUGAGGUAAUGGCUCACCAAGGCGACGACGGGUAGCCGGCCUGAGAGGGCGACCGGCCACACUGGGACUGAGACACGGCCCAGACUCCUACGGGAGGCAGCAGUGGGGAAUAUUGCACAAUGGGCGAAAGCCUGAUGCAGCGACGCCGCGUGAGGGAUGACGGCCUUCGGGUUGUAACA
rnacentral:rRNA from 1 species